AAGUUGUGGAUGAGACGGAAUAGAAUUUUAUGAGAAAAAUACCAGACUAAAACCUGUGCUAAACUUCACCACGAACUCCGACUCUGGCUGAACUGCUGAACCACACAUCUCGUGAGAGUCUGUCUUACGAGGAAAGUAAACACGAGAAAUUAUUAAUUGCUGUUUAAUCUGUAAUUUGAAAUUAUAAUUAAAAUUGCAUGGAUUGCUUGGGAUAAAUUACACAGUCGAAUUUACUUUGGGGGUAGACGUAACAACUUCAUAGUCCAAUUGCCAUCACUGGAUUCAUAAUUCGGAUUCUGCUUCUCUACGUUGUACUGACAGAGAAUACGUUAACAAGAAUGCAAAUCAAUAUCAGCAAAUAAAGCGGAUGUGCAAAAAUUAAAAAAACGGUGGUGAUUUUUAAUCAAGUGUUCGAUCACCUCAAAAAGAUCCAGUCAAUAAAGUUGCAAUUCGCAAGUUCCAGUGCAGUGGAACUGGCUCAAAUUACAGGUGCAAAGUGUAGUAGAAGUAGCGAGCAAAAAUAAUAUCAAACCACCACACACACCACUACAUAUUCCAGAACAUAGGACAACGUGGUCACCUGACUUUUUCGUAGAAAGGAAACGUCUCGUCAAAAACCCGACCCGAAUUGAAUCGCGGGUUUCGGUAUUCAUUCAUCAUAAAUGGAGUAAUUAGUCAGCUAGCCAUGAUGAUGGGAUAAGUCAUUUAUGUGGAAACGGGAAGAAAAGAAUAAGACUCCCGUCGAAAAAGUGAUGUAAAAUACAGCCAUAUCCGGCUGCAUUUUUGCCGAUUAUCAGAAAGAUAAAUUUCCCAAAUCGCCAACUGAGA